AUAUUAAUAAGCGGAGGAAAAGAAACUAACAAGGAUUCCCUUAGUAACGGCGAGUGAAGCGGCAACAGCUCAAAUUUGAAAUCUGGCCUUUGGCCCGAGUUGUAAUUUGUAGAGGAUGCUUUGAACGUGGUCUGGUCUAAGUUCCUUGGAACAGGACGUCAUAGAGGGUGAGAAUCCCGUAUGCGACUGGGUGCCUAAGUUCAUGUAAAGCUCCUUCGACGAGUCGAGUUGUUUGGGAAUGCAGCUCAAAAUGGGUGGUAAAUUUCAUCUAAAGCUAAAUAUUGGCCAGAGACCGAUAGCGCACAAGUA
rnacentral:rRNA from 1 species